GGAUGAUGAAGGCCAUCUUCUCCGCCGUGCAAAGCGUGGCGGCGACGAUCAGAUCGCCCUCGCCUUCACGGUCAUCGUCGUCGGUCACCACAACGAUUUCGCCCGCGGCAAACGCCUUCAAAACUUCAGGGAUAGGAUGGGCCAUAACGCGCUCUUGCUCUCAAAAGGGGUGCAGAUCGUAUGGCGCAGGGCGCGGGCCCGCGCAACUGUCCCGUCCACAUGGCCGUCAUCCACUGGCCUUUGACGGCUUCA
rnacentral:misc_RNA from 1 species